GGACUGUCAGGUUUUAGAGAUAAACUUCGCCAUAUUUCUAGAUAAGAGAGCCGCUCCAUCCAAAGUGGGAUGGAUGCCGUCUCUCCUAAUCAGACCAGGUUUUCCCCAAAAAGGCUUCCAAAGCCCACAUCGUUUUCUGGACCCCACCUCGACAGCCAGCGGUGGAAUGACGACAUGCGGCUAUACAUGUCAUCGCUGGUCACACUGGGGAGGGGUCCAGAGAAAACUACGGAGUCCGACAUAGUUUUAGCAUAAUUACACACCGACUCCACAUUAACUUUAGUGACCUCCGAUUGGCGUAAACGGAUGUCGUUACCGCCGACGUGGAUAACAAUCUUACUGUAUUUACGUUUAUCUUUAGCCAGCAGUUUUAAAUAUGAUUCAAUGUCGCCGCUCUGGCCCCAGGGAAACAUUUAACUAUGGAGCUGUCAAUUACCAGAGUUGGUUCCUCAGCGGGUGUGUCGCUGAGUGGGGACAAUGUAUUAGAAACAUGAAUGGGUUGGUGGUGACCUGUGGGCUUCGGCGUUUUAGUCUUCCUUCGCUCAGUCACCCAGCCUCCCUGUCUGCCCGGCUGCUCGGGAACUACCGGAGGAACUACCGGAGGAACUACCGGAGGAACUACUGGGGGCUGACUAACUAUAGCGGCUAAAGAUAUCUCCGUGCUGCGGUACCGUUCCUCUAACUCACUAAGCCUCGCCUCCAGCGCAGUAAAUAAACUACAUUUAAUACAGAUACCAUUAUCUUUAAAGGAGGCAGAGGAAUAACUAAACAUCUGACACACUGAGCAGGACAGAGGAGAGGGAGAAGCCAUAGCUAACUGCUAAUGCUAAUGAAGCGAUGAAGUGAAAAGUCGCUAAAAGAAGGAGAAACUCCGAGUGCUUAGGUAGAACUAAUCUACGUUUAAAUGUUAAGCGGGAAAAUAACCGCUGUAACGAGUAAAACUAAUUUAUAUUUAGCGUUCACUGACAGAGCUACAGCACCAAACAGUGUACAGAGCAGGAAGGAAACCGGAAAUGAGUCAGUACGCUUGCCGUAGCACGUCCUCACUACUACUGUAAACACAAGACAGAGACAAUGGCGACGAGCCAGGGAAAUCCAAAGAUAACACACAUAGCACCAGAUGGUAGAAUCUCCACCCCUCGUCCACUUGGUAUCUCGACUCCAAGGAUGGUGUUGUUGGGGUAGCCACAACCUGGAACUGGAAGGAGUCCGUCUGGCUCCAUCAUUGUUUUGUCUGAUACUGACCUCGGAGGUCGUGUUUACCGCUAUCUCUCCAAAAGAAUGUCAUGUUAUAUCUGCAACUACCCACACUCUUCUCCCUUAUACUGUGCCUGCUAUUCAUAUUCAUUAGUAACUUAUAAUUCUAUAACACAUCAUACAAACAUCUAAUAUUCAUUACUUUAUUUCUGUUAUUAGUAUUCCCUUAACAGCCCUUUAUCAAUGUAAGCAUAAUCAAUGUAAGCAGACAUAUUUCUAUUCUAGUUAAUAAUCAUACAGGUAAAAAUAUAUAGAGUAUAAAUCACAGAAUAUCGCAACACUAUGGACACUUUGACUUGUGACCUUUUGACAAAUUUAUGUUGUCGGACAAAUGUGCUGCUUUCCCCUCCUCUCUUUCAGCACUUUCCUGUAAAAUAUAUGUGUUCAACCAUUCAGGAUGUACAAAAUAUCCUUGUCAUGCCUUCUACUUCUUCUGGGUUUAUGAAAAGACACCUAAAACACCACUCUGUUUAACCACAGUAAUGAUGUGGUCCUAAGGGAAUGUGGAAAUCAAGACUGAGGUUUUAUACACUCCAGGGAUAAUGUCCCCCUCUGCCGGAGAGCUAAAACUCACAUGGAGAAAUAAGCUGUGCACUCUCGUCGUCGCCAAGUGCUUGCUCGUGGUGGGGACUGUUGGGGACUGUUGGGUCUCUGUAAAUACUUUUAUAAGGAGUAUGGUCUAGACCUACUCUAAUUUGAAAAGUGUCCCGAGAUAACUUCUGUUAUGAAUUGUUACGUCACUGUGAGGGCCAUUCCAAAACCUUCAGCUGGUGACGCUUUCAAGUCCAUGAUUCAUUUAAAGAUAUUUUUAGGAUCCUUAGGUAGAAGCGUUUUUCUUUCAGCUUCAGGUUCCCCUCCCUUUUUUUUCCUUUUUUUUUAACAGAUGGUGUGAUUGCUUCCAGAACCGAAGACUCAGAGAACACCCAAGUAUGAGAAAUCCCUACCAUAAAAACAGAAUGAACAGCACUACGACAUAAAAUUAUGCCUUUUUUUUUUUAUCUUAAACAGCUUUAAAUACCUUAUGGCAAGCUACCCAUACAGUUAACAAAGAAACCUUGAGUUGAAAGGUGCUCUGUGCUUCACAGUUUCACUUAAGGUGCCAAGUGACAUUACAUCACAGUGGGCGAGGGCGGUGUGGGCAGAGUCUGAUGGCCUGGGGGAAGAAACUGUUAGAGUAUUUCUGUUAGUGUUGGGUGAUACCGCAAGAAUUGGUAUUGCUCCAAUACUGAUCGAGUACAGCCUGUUUAUGAACUAAACAAUUUGCCGUCGUUUCAUUUGUAACCUGAAAAUAAAGCUACACAGCACUCCUCUUUCUCUCCGCCA